rnacentral:tRNA from 1 species
AGGAUCGUAGCUCAGCUGGUUAGAGCGCUACCUUGACAUGGUAGAGGUCGGCGGUUCGAAUCCGCCCGAUCCUACCA